CACCCCAGAUCAACCGCUAAGGUCCCCAAGUUCACGUUAAGUGGAGAAGGAUGUGGAAUUGCACAGACAACCAGGAUGUUGGCUCAGAAGCAGCCACACAUUUAAAGAGUGCGUAAUAGCUCACUGGUCGAGUGAUUGUGCGCCGAAGAUGUCCGGGGCUAAACGUGACACCGAAGCGAUGGGCGCGUCUGAAGAAGAUGCGCGGUAGAGGAGCAAUGUGCAGAGGCAGAAGCCGUAUCGAGAGGCACGGUGGACACUGCACAAGAGAGAAUGCCGGUAUGAGUAGCGAGAGGCAUGCGAGAAACAUGCCCGUCGAAAGCCCAAGGUUUCCUGGGGAAGGUUCAUCCGCCCAGGGUAAGUCGGGGCCUAAGCCGAGGACGGAAGUCGUAGGCGAUGGACAGCAGGUGUAGAUUCCUGCACUACCGAUGGAAUGAAGCAGUGACACAGAAGGAUAACUCGAGCAGGGUGAUGGUCAACCCUGUGCAAGCAUCAAGGUUGGGUUGUAGUGAAGUACGCAACCCUAUAAGCUGAGGUGUGAUGCGGACCGAAAUUUCAGUAGGGAAGCGAGUGAGUUCACGCUGGCGAGAAAAGCUGCUAGUACAUCCAAAGGUACCCGUACCGGAAACCGACGCAGGUGGGCGAGGAGAGAAUCCUGAGACGAACGGGAGAACCCUUGUUAAGGAACUCGGCAAAAUGACCCCGUAACUUCGGGAUAAGGGGUGCCUGCGAGAGCAGGCCGCAGAGAAUAGUCACAAGCGACUGUUUAGCAAAAACACAGGUAUCUGCGAAAGCGAGAGCUGACGUAUAGGUGCUGACACCUGCCCGGUGCUGGAAGGUUAAGGGAACAUGUUAGAGCAAUCGAAGCAUCGAACCGAAGCCCCAGUAAACGGCGGCCGUAACUAUAACGGUCCUAAGGUAGCGAAAUUCCUUGUCGGGUAAGUUCCGACCCGCACGAAUGGUGUAACGACUUGUGAGCUGUCUCAACAGGGGGCCCGGUGAAAUUGAAGUAUGGGUGAAGAUGCCCAUUACCCGCGACUGGACGGAGAGACCCCGUAGAGCUUUACUGCAGCCUGAUAUUGAGUUUCGGUAACUGAUGCACAGGAUAGGUGGGAGUCUGAGAGACAUGGGUUUCGGCUCGUGUGGAGACGCUGUUGGGAUACCACUCUUCGGUUACUGAAAUUCUAACAUAGCUCUGUGAAACCAGAGGAUGGACAGUGUCAGGUGGACAGUUUGACUGGGGCGGUCGCCUCCGAAAGAGUAACGGAGGCGCCCAAAGGUACCCUCAGAAUGGAUGGAAACCAUUCGAAGAGCGCAAAGGCAGAAGGGUGCCUGACUGCGAGAGUGACAACUCGAGCAGAGACGAAAGUCGGGCUUAGUGAUCCGGCGGUAUUGAGUGGAAAAGCCGUCGCUUAACGGAUAAAAGCUACCUCGGGGAUAACAGGCUGAUCUCCCCCAAGAGUCCACAUCGACGGGGAGGUUUGGCACCUCGAUGUCGGCUCAUCGCAUCCUGGGGCUGUAUUCGGUCCCAAGGGUUUGGCUGUUCGCCAAUUAAAGCGGCACGCGAGCUGGGUUCAGAACGUCGUGAGACAGUUCGGUCCCUAUCCAUCGUGGGCGUAGGAGUCAUGAGAGGAGCUGUUCCUAGUACGAGAGGACCGGAAUGGACGCACCACUGGUGCAACUGUUGUCGUGCCAACGGCAUAGCAGGGAAGCGAAGUGCGGACGGGAUAAACGCUGAAGGCAUCUAAGCGUGAAGCCCACCUCAAGAAUAAGACUCCACAAUAGACCCCUGGAGGACUACCAGGUAGAUAGGUCAUCGGUGGAAGCGCUGUAAGGCGUGUAGCUUGAUGAUACUAAUCGGUCGAAAGCUUCAUUUA
rnacentral:rRNA from 1 species